CCUACGGGAGGCAGCAGUGAGGAAUAUUGGUCAAUGGCCGCGAGCCUGAACCAGCCAAGUCGCGUGAAGGAGGACUGCGCUGAGGGUUGUAGACUUCUUUUAUAAAGGGAUAAAGUGAGGCACGUGUGCCUUUUUGUAGGUACUUGGUGAAUAAGGAUCGGCUAACUCCGUGCCAGCAGCCGCGGUAAUACGGAGGAUCCGAGCGUUAUCCGGAUUUAUUGGGUUUAAAGGGUGCGUAGAGGGGUUGUUAAGUCAGGUGUGAAAGUUUGCGGCUCAACCGUAAAAUGGCAAUUGAUAUGGGCAGUCUUGAGUACAGUUGAGGCAGGCGGAAUUCGUGGUGUAGCGGUGAAAUGCUUAGAUAUCACGAAGAACCCCGAUUGCGAAGGCAGCUUACUAAGCCGCCACUGACAUUGAUGCUCGAAAGUGUGGGUAUCAAACAGGAUUAGAUACCCUUGUAGUC
rnacentral:rRNA from 1 species